rnacentral:rRNA from 1 species
UACAGAGGUCUCAAGCGUUGUUCGGAUUCAUUGGGCGUAAAGGGUGCGUAGGCGGCGCGGUAAGUCGGGGUGUGAAAUCUUGGAGCUUAACUCCGAAACUGCAUUCGAUACUGCCGUGCUUGAGGACUGGAGAGGAGACUGGAAUUUACGGUGUAGCAGUGAAAAUGCGUAGAUAUCGUAAGGAAGACCAGUGGCGAAGGCGGGUCUCUGGACAGUUCCUGACGCUGAGGCACGAAGGCCCAGGGGAGCAAAACGGG